UUUCAUUUUUAAUCAGUCAGAUUUGACUGGAUUGUAUGGUACCCUGGGGUACACAAGACUUGCUCAAAAAAAAUUAGGGUUUGAAAUUGAAUUAACCACUUACCCGGCGCCUCCAUACCAUAUUCUUCCUUCAUUUCAGUCGGCGGUCGCACACCAGACACCACAACUCCACGCCGUCCGCCUCUGCUUCAGCCGCCGCCUCCACUCGCGUCACCACCCCGACUCUGCCGAAAGCCGCCUAAGCUAUCAUCUGGUACGCUCUGCUUCUCGAGCAACGAUCCCUUCGCCCUCGUGCUAAGAUCUUGAUGCUUUGUCAGUUGAAAUUCUUAGCAAUCGCUGUAUAGAGAUAUAAAUUUUAUUGGCAAAUGCAGCAGCUGUUUGUUUAUAAUUAGAUGCUUUGUAUGUUUACAAAUGCAGCAGCUAUAAAUUUUGAUGCUUUGUAUGUUUACUUUGCCGAUACUUUGAUGAAAUUGACUUCAUAAAAAUAAACAGAUUAUAUGUUUUUUAAUGGGCAAAUGCAGCAGCUGUGUCUGUAAUGUAGUAGUAACUUAAUCUCAGUUUAUUCAGAUUGGGGAUUUUGAUUUCUAAUAAGGAUUUUGCUUUUAUCGGCAUGUAUGUUGUGUUUUUCGCCAUUUAUUUUUCUUGAUUUGUCUGUGUGCGAGCAGUUCAUUAGGAGCAGAUACCAAAUCAAGUUGAUAACAAUUUGCAUGAAUCUUUGUUUCACACUUUAGUCACGAGGGAUUGUCUUCUCUCUAUGAUGCGUGUCAUGCUUUAUUUCAUCUGGAUAUCAACAUUAUAAAUUUGGUAUCAUUAUUAUAAAAUACAGUAAAAAAAUUGACAUGUUAUCAUUUAGGUGAAGCUGAUCGUCUAAUUAACUGUUCCUUCAUUUUAUACGAACUGCUUUAAAGUUUGACAUGAUAAAAACUAACAUCGUUGGUUUAUAUUUUUCCAUGUCAGAAUUCUUGUGAUUGUUAGAAUUUUCUGCCAAAAGGAACAUGAUUUGAUUCAAAGUAAAUGAGCUAGCUGCAUGAAAUAUUAGUUCUUUCUACUAUUAACAAAGGAAUUAUAUAAAGCUUGCCAAAUCAUAAAGUUGAAUCAUGAAUUCGUGAUCUUGUCUUUUUUAUUGCGAUUUUAUACAUAUAUAAUGAUCAUUAAGAAUAAUAAAAUACAAAAGAUAAUUUAUUUUUAAGCCUUUCACCCGAUUUUUCCGAUGGGCUAGCCCGAAACUCGAACGUUUCGGGUUAGGGUUGAAAAUUUCUAACCCGAAAAAUUUUCAGCCUGAUUAGGCCGCACUCAAUUAACCUGACAACCCGAUAUAGCUGGCCCGAUUGACAUCCCCAUUCCCCACUUAAAACAAAGUUUAGAAAUAGGACAACAAUACCACCAAAGCCCUUUUAUACAAAAACCUAGACGCCAUUACAAACCUGCAAUUUCCCAUUUUCUUCUUUGUUGCCACUUACCGUUGCCGCUGCUGCUCUCUCUCUAGCAUGGGAGAAUAAAAGGCAUUUUCGUUUUUCUUCUAUUUCUUGUUCUGUUUUCUGACUUUUAUUCUGUCAAUCAGUCAUUGGUCUGAAAAGCUGAUAACAUUUGGCUGAUUUCACUCUGUUUUCUUCUACAUAAUAUUUUUCAUAAUUGCUAUGUUUUGUUUCUGUGUUGGUGUAAAUGAUGUGAUGUGUGAUAUUAGGUUCUUAUGCUCUGGAUAUUUUGGGGGAUUGUAGAAAUUACCAUUUGUUUCAAUACUGCAAAAUGUCCCAUGGAUGAAAUAUUUAGUAAUCUGGAGCUUUGCAAAGUUGGUGCUCCCUCUUGCAAUGGAGGUUGAGGAACCAUCUCUUUAUUGCUAUGCCAGGUAGAAAAUAGGCAUUUCUGAGGGACAUCUUUUUGCAUAACAUGCUCUUCUUUUUCUUUUUUCAAAUUUUUUUAUUUUGUUUCCUUAUUUACAUUUUGCAGCUCAAAUUGGGGCCAAUGAGAUACAAAAAGUCUGAAUGAAAGUGGCUACUUAAUUGAAUUGGAUACAUCAUCUAAUGGAUAGUUUAAAUUCUUGGAAGAAUCUAUCUUAAGUUGAAAUCUAGUUGUUGGAAUUGAAGUGCUCUCAAUGAUUUCUAUUCGAAAGGUUUCAUUUUGAUUGAAGUAAAGAUUUACUCUUUUUUUAUUUCGUUUAUAUAUAUAUAUAUAUAUAUAUAUAUAUAUAUAUAUAUAUGGGAGAGUUAAAAUAAAUACACUUCUUAAGAUAUAAAAUAAGAAUCAUUUUCAACCCUUAGAUCAUCAAGAUCUACGGCUGAUUCAUAACCCUAUUGGAUGGAUUUAUGAUCCAGAGUUCGAAUCUCAAAGGUAGCAAAAAUUAAUUUUUCACAAUUCAUACAUUUAUACAACGAAUUCAUACGUGUUCUACAUAAAAUUCAUACAUUGAAAAUUGCUCCUAUUUCUUAUUUUAAGAUGUGUUCUCACGGUACCCCACCCCUAUAUAUUGAAAAUAUAUAUAUAAAUUUGGUUAUUCACAUAAUAUCAGCUUUAAUUGUCGUUUUCCAUUUUUAUAUGGUAGAGAUCUAAGAUUAUGUCAAAAUGAUUGUUUUUGCUCAAAAGCUUAAGUGAAAUAACUUGAAUAGAUUUCAGUUAACUCUAUAGUGCUGGUACAAUGCUUAUAUGUUGUAUUAUUAUCUCUUUUUUUGCACCAAGGCUUUAUUUAAUUUUUAGUCAGGUGGCUGUUUAAUGUGUUGUGGAUAACAUUUGUGAUGCGAGAUGUAGAGUACUUACAAAUCAUGUUAUCUGUAUAUUUGUCUGGUUUUGUUUAAAGAGUGUAAUCAUGUUUCGCUUAUGUAUAUUUGGUACCUCUGAGCAUGUGGAACUCCCCCUCCUCGAAGUUUAAGUAUGGCCGUUCGUCAUAAAAUCCAGAUUUGCUAGGUGUAGCAUUCUUGACUGGUCUGCUUAAUCUUGCCUAGUCUUCUAGACAGAUAUCAUAUCCCCAGGCUUGGCUAUGAGCAUUUAAUAAUCAGAUACCCAAAAACUUGGAUGAUCCUAUAUAAUAUGUUCUGUUUCUACAGCCAUACUUCGUAGACGAAUGACUUGUAGGAAGAUAGAGUAUUGAUAUUCAGUAUUCUCUUGUGAUUUAACUCUGGAUAAAGCUUAGAGUGCAUUGUACGCAGUAUGCUAGUCCAAAUGAACUUCACCAGGAACUUUUCACUUUUGAAAUAUCAGCAUUACCAGUGUUUUACAAAGUGAGUUGAAUUCAAGUUAGACAAACCAUCAUCGUCAUCUGAUUUUCUUUUCUGGCCUGUUUGGACCUCAGUGACAAAGAAGAAUGGAAUCGAUGUUGAUGGUGCAGAAGCAACCUCUUUUGCACACAUGAGGUGGUGAGUGGAUCUUGUAGUUUUAGGAGGGCUGCAAUUGAUUGUUGAAGGGUGGUAGAAAUACAGACUCAACUCGGCUUGUGAAACUACAACAACUUGGAGUGAGUGAAGAUUUGCUUUAGCUUGAUAGAAUUACAUUUUUCUUUUUUAUGCUAUACAUAUUUAAAUUUCAGCACUUGAGAAAUGGAUGGAUGUGUUUAUCUAUUAAAUAUUAUUCGUGGAGAUGAUUAUAAAUAUGUCAAGUUUUACU